CAUCGUCCAUGACUGACACUUCCUUUUGCUGCUGGGCAGUUAGUCGCCAUUACGUCUUGUCUAGAGGUCAUAUGUUUAUAUCGUGAAUUUUUUUCCUUGGAUACUUCUGCUGAUAUCACCGAUAUCAAACAUUUUAUUCAGAUGAUGUUGAGACUGGGAGGUUCUCUUGCUCAGUGCAGUUGUUUCUAACUCUUCGUACGGGAGCUCUGGUUGCCUUCAAGCAUGAAGGAAGAAGUGAAGGUUGAUGUUGCAGGACCUUUAGGGUAUGCCAAUUUCAGCUAGUCGUCCCCAAGACCGGUGGUAGUUCUCGUCAACAGCUCUUAACCCCUCUUGUUCCUGACCUGGAAAAUACGUCCCGGGAAGGCUACUUUGAUGUUUUUCAUUGCUGCCUUCGCACUCUUUAUUAUUGUAUGCUGUAACGCAGCAGUCUCCAUCUUCCUUUCCUUUCAAGAAAUGUUGGGUGGAAGAAUACACAGUAAUUGUAAGGAACAAGACUCGCCAGCAGAGCAACAGCCAAUGAGGCACGUUUGCCAGUCUAUUUCAGUUUGCAAGUGUGCACUACCCUGCAGUUUGUUGAAGCUAUAAGAACUACUUCCCCCUCUGGAUUUUACAUUGUGCAGAAGUACACUUUUCUCCAAAGUCAUUAGAAGUCCCAGGAUCGCUGCCUUCCCUCACUUCAUCAUUUUAUGCUGUAUUGCAGUCUCUUACUGUAGACCAUGUCCUCCUCUGGUGGAUGAGAAGUCCCAGGAUCGCUGCCUUCCCUUGCUUCAUCGCCGGAUGUUGUAUUGCAGUCUCUCCUCCAUCUUUUGGUGUAGACCACAUCCCCUCCUCUUGUGGACGAGAAGACCCAGGAUCACUACCUUCCCUUGCUUCGUCUUAUGCUGUAUUGCAGUCUCUCCUCCAUCUCCAUCUUUCUUCCUCUGGUGGAUGAGAAAACCCAGGAUAGCUACCUUCCCUCACUUUAUCUUAUGCUGUAUGGCAGUCUCUCCUCCGUCUCUUGCUGUAGAUCACGUCCUCCUUACUGGACGAGAAUACCCAGGAUCACUACCUUACCUCACAUCAUCAUCAUACGCUGUAUUGCACACUCUCCUCCAUCUUUUGCUGUAGAACACGUCGUCCUCUGGUAAAUGAAAAGACCCAGGAUCACUACCUUCCCUCGCUCUGUCAUCUUAUGCUGUAUUGCAGUCUCUUCUCCGUCUCUUGCUAUAGACCACGUCCUCCUCUGGUGGACGAGUCCCAGGAUUGCUCCCUUCCCUCCCUUCAUCAUCUUACACUGUAUUGACCUCUCUCCUCCAUCUUUUGCUGUAAAACACGUCCUCCUCUGGUGGACGAGAAGACUCAGGAUCACUGCCUUCCCUCACUUAGUCAUCUUAUGCUCUGUAUUGCAGUCUCUCCUCUGUAUUUUGCUGUAGAACACUUCCUCCUCUGGUGAAAGAGAAGACCCAGGAUUGCUGCUUUCCUUCACUUUAUCGUCAUCUGCUGUAUUGCAGUCUCUUAGUCUCCUUCCUUUUAUUUCAAUAAACAUUGGGAGUAAAACUAUUCACCAUCAAAGCUACAGCCAACGAGCCACGUUUAGGUGCAUGUACUUCAUUGCCGUGUGUUGUAGCUUCAACUUGCAAGAACAACUCCUCCCAGUAGCUGUUUCUGUCUAUGGUCUCAGGGGGAGGUCUUACACUCCAUCCUUUGGAGAAUGAGAAGUCCAGUGAAAACUUCUGCCGCCUCCUUCACAUUCAGUCAUUGCAUGCUGGAAUUAUAACAAAAGUUCAUUUAUAAAAUUCAACACCUGUGGCAUAAUAAAAAUAAACCUAUACCUGUAUGAUGAACCAUAGUUUGUCAAAUUCAGAAUAACUUUGUGGUUUUAAACAACUUUGUCUAAUACUUAUCCAUACUAGUUAAUUUGACCAAUACCUAUAUAAUUAUCCAUACUAGUUAAUUUGACCAAUACCUAUAUAAAAAUUAUGCCUAUAA